UUGCUUCUUUGCUGACGAGUGGCGGACGGGUGAGUAAUGUCUGGGAAACUGCCUGAUGGAGGGGGAUAACUACUGGAAACGGUAGCUAAUACCGCAUAACGUCGCAAGACCAAAGAGGGGGACCUUCGGGCCUCUUGCCAUCGGAUGUGCCCAGAUGGGAUUAGCUAGUAGGUGGGGUAACGGCUCACCUAGGCGACGAUCCCUAGCUGGUCUGAGAGGAUGACCAGCCACACUGGAACUGAGACACGGUCCAGACUCCUACGGGAGGCAGCAGUGGGGAAUAUUGCACAAUGGGCGCAAGCCUGAUGCAGCCAUGCCGCGUGUAUGAAGAAGGCCUUCGGGUUGUAAAGUACUUUCAGCGGGGAGGAAGGGAGUAAAGUUAAUACCUUUGCUCAUUGACGUUACCCGCAGAAGAAGCACCGGCUAACUCCGUGCCAGCAGCCGCGGUAAUACGGAGGGUGCAAGCGUUAAUCGGAAUUACUGGGCGUAAAGCGCACGCAGGCGGUUUGUUAAGUCAGAUGUGAAAUCCCCGGGCUCAACCUGGGAACUGCAUCUGAUACUGGCAAGCUUGAGUCUCGUAGAGGGGGGUAGAAUUCCAGGUGUAGCGGUGAAAUGCGUAGAGAUCUGGAGGAAUACCGGUGGCGAAGGCGGCCCCCUGGACGAAGACUGACGCUCAGGUGCGAAAGCGUGGGGAGCAACAGGAUU
rnacentral:rRNA from 1 species